GAUGGAAGAACGUAGCGAAAUGCGAUAAGUAAUGUGAAUUGCAGAAUUCAGUGAAUCAUCGAAUCUUUGAACGCACAUUGCGCCCGCUAGUAUUCUGGCGGGCAUGCCUGUCCGAGCGUCAUUUCAACCCUCAAGCCCCCGGGCUUGGUGUUGGGGAUCGGCGAGCCUCCGCGCCCGCCGUCCCCUAAAUCUAGUGGCGGUCUCGCUGUAGCUUCCUCUGCGUAGUAGCACACCUCGCACUGGGAAACAGCGCGGCCACGCCGUUAAACCCCCAACUUCUGAACGUUUGACCUCGGAUCAGGUAGGAAUACCCGCUGAACUUAAGCAUAUCAAUAAGCGGAGGA
rnacentral:misc_RNA from 1 species